AGUAUCCACUCAGCUUCUGUGAACUGAGGACCUGUGGUGGAGCCCGCGUAUAUCUCCAUAAUAUUAUUUCAAAGAACCGAAAGUUAAGAAAGAGAGACUGCGAGCAUAACGAAGUAGAUAACGAAGUAGAUAAUACGUAGAUAAGUAGAUGAAAAGUAGAUAA